rnacentral:rRNA from 1 species
CACGUAGGGCGCAAGCGUUUGUCCGGAAUUAUUGGGCGUAAAGAGCUCGUAGGCGGUCUGCUACGUCCGCUGUGAAAACCUAGGGCUUAACCCUGGGCUUGCAGUAGAUACGGGCAGACUAGAGGUAGGUAGGGGAGAAUGGAAUUCCCGGUGUAGCGGUGAAAUGCGCAGAUAUCGGGAGGAACACCGGUGGCGAAGGCGGUUCUCUGGGCCUUACCUGACGCUGAGGAGCGAAAGCGUGGGGAGCGAACAGG